GCGUAAUGUCAAACGAACUUUCAGAUCACCUCCUUUUGCAAUUCUUAACGCACAUUAUUUUUAUGCAUUGGGUAUUCAUCAGGUACUACAAAUGAUUUAGUAAUCUUUUACCCUACACAUUUUACAACUUGUUAGCUUACCAGAUUCGAUGGCUGUAGAGGUUUGCUUUUGUAAGAGUUUCAUAAACAUCGUGAUGAUUCUGGUGAAUGAACGAUUGCCCAGUCUACUCUAACAUUUGUUAGAGUGAAAUUGAUUUAUCGAGAGGUGUCAAAAAAUUUAUUGUCCAAAUUUAGCCACCUUCAAGCAUCCAUGUCAUAUAGAGUACUAAGUCAUGCAUCCCAUGUCCCAAAAGAGUGUUUUAAUACAUGGAGAAGGCAUAACUUUGGUAGCGAUGUGGAGAAGGCAAGCCAUAUGAACUGUUUUAAUGCAUGGUAAAUAUUGCAAAACAUCAAGUUCUUUGUUUUGACAUCAGUUUUGGUAUGUCUGCUAUUGCUCAAUUCGUGACGUUUAAAUAAGUGACCCCCCAUUGUGUUGUUGAACAUGGCAACCACUUGAUCUUUAAAUCGUGGCCUAUCCAUAAAUCUGAAGUGUGGCAUAACUUUUGAGGUUCUAAUGUAGCCUAGCAAACAUUAGCUUCAUUUAGGCCAAGUAAAAGGUACUGAUAUAGGUAAAAAUCUGGGUCGUAGAUCUCGUCCCUUAUGUCCCUUUUAUUAAAUUUAUGUCUAGGCAUUUUGUGUAUCUCAAAGUUUUACCCUUUUAUAAGUGAUAUAUUGUGUAUUUUGUUGAUUCUUUUGUUUUAUGAGAUAUUCCUGAGUGAUAAUUAUAUCCCGUUUGCUUCUUUGUUAUUAGAGGAGUGAAAUGUGAUUCAGUUAUGAAUCUGAUAUUAUGCAGCGUGAUCAAUAUACCAAAUCUUGUGAUUUUUUUCCUCUUGGGAGUGUGCUACAGCUGGUUGCUAUAGGCCAAGGAGGCAUUGACGAGCAAAGGCAGCCAAAGCAACAUCUUUCCCACACCGGAGCUUCAAAUUUGGUGCCCUGGCUGAUUCGAACAAGGUCCUUGGUGUAGCAGACAUGCAGGAAAAUGCGGUCCAUGCUCCCGGGAGCCGAAAUGUCUUUCCGAUCUUUUUAGGUAAUCUGGCAACGUGGACCUUGACGACGUGCACACAGAGAUGUCCAUGGUUCCAUACUUGACGGGGUGCCCCUCCACAAGCUAGAAACUGAAGAACCUGCACGCCAGCACCAUCGUCUUCACAUGCGGGUAUGCUAAAACUUUGCCCACACAGAUCUGUGGUCCCUCCUUGGGCAGCGACCCAGGCGCACCGUCGCCGACGAUCCACUGCUCUGUCCGGAAGCUAGCGGCGUCGGGCCCUCAGUUGUACUCCACCCACCCGAUGGAGUAGGGAACAUACAUCACCAUCCGCGGUGCGCACCUCCUUUCCUUCGAUGGUGCCGAUGACCUCUCCCAUGAGCCGGUAUUCCUUAUUUAAUCGCCAAUUAUAUCUCUCAAAUUGGUUGUUUAUUUUGCUUCUUGUGUGUAUUUUUUCGCUCAUACAAUUGGGUGAAAUUUGGAGUUCCUCUUCCCUAUGUACGUAGCUUCCUCACGCCAUUUGAUUUAUCUUGAGUUGUACAAAUUCAUCCAUGGCUCCAUACUCCAUUCAUAAA